GCUAGAACUUCUAGAACUAUGUUGAAUAAAAGUGGUGAGAACAGUCAUCCUUGUCUUGUCCCUGAUCCUAGAGGAAAAGCUUUUAGCUUUUCACCAUUGAGCAUGAUGUUAACUAUGGGC